CUGACCACUUCUGUAUUGAUUGAGUCACUGGUACUUCCUGCUUUAGUUUUUGCUUGUAAGCUGGAAUCAGGAGGAUAUAAUUAUGGUCAGAUUUGCCAAAUGGAGGGAGAGCUUUGUACGCAUCUCUGUGUGUGGAGUAAAGGUGGUCUAGAGUUGUUUUCUCCUCUUGUUGCACAUGUAACAUGCUGGUAGAAAUGAGGUAAAACGGAUUUAAGUUUCCCUGCAUUAAAGUCCCCGGCUACUAGGAGUGCCGCCUCUGGAUGAGCAUUUUCUUGUUUGCUUAUUGGCUUUAUACAGCUCGUUGAGUACGGUCUUAGUGCCAGCAUCGGUUUGUGGUGGUAAAUAAGCAGCUAUGAAAAAUAUAGAUGAAAACUCUCUUGGUAAAUAGUGUGGUCUACAGCUUAUCUUGCGAUGCUCUACCUCAGGCUAGCAAAACAUUGAGACUUCCUCAAUAUUAGAUUUUGCACCAGCUGUUAUUGACAAACAGACACAGACCGCCACCCCUUGUCUUACCGGAGGCAGCUGUUCUGUCUUGACGAUGCACAGAAAAACCAGCCAACUGUAUAUUAUCCAUGUCGUCGUUCAGUCACGACUCGGUGAAACACAAGAUAUUACAGUUUUUAAUGUCCCAUUGGUAGGAUCGUCUUGAACGGACCUCAUCCAGUUUAUUCUCCAAUGAUUGCACAUUGGCCAAUAGGAUGGAUGGUAGAGGCAGGUUACCCACUGGCCGAUAAAUUCUCACAAGGCACCCGGACCUGCGUCCCCUGUAUCGGCGUCUUCUCUUAAUGGGAAUGACAGGGAUUUGGGCCUGGUCGGGUAUCUGGAGUAAAUCCUUUGCAUCAGACUCGCUAAAGAAAAAAAUCUUUGUACAGUACCAGGUGAGUAAUCGCCGUUCUGAUAUCCAGAAGCUCUUUUUGGUCAUAAGAGAUGGUGGCAGAAACAUUAUGUACAAAAUAAGUUACAAACAAGGCACAAAAACACACAAAAUAGCACAAUUGGUUAGGAGCCCGUAAAACGGCAGCCAUCCCCUCCUGCACCAUUCUCCUCCGGUCAAGCGGGCGACCCUGAACAUCUGGUCCUGUAUCUGUUAGCAUGAUUUAUGUCUGGCUGCUUAGGAGACUAUCAGACUAUCGAGCUGCCUGUUAUGAUAAAAGGAAGCCACACUGGUGGUGGUAGACGAUGCCCACCCCGUACUGCAGCUGGGAAGACAGAUAGAGGGAGAAGCGAGGCUGGGGGAGACCGGGGCAGAGCGGAGCCACCUGGACCAUCACGUAGUCCAUGAUGUCCUCACUGUAAAAGAUAUACACAACCACUAGCUAUGAUCAGAGCCAUGACACAAUACAUCUAACUUAGCUAGCUAUCCAUGUUUCGUCUCGAAGUUUAGGGACCAUGUAGGUUGGUUAGCAUAACAUAUUCCCCUCUGUCUGUCAGACAUAGAAAGGAGAGAGGAAGGGUUGAGGAAGGGUUGAUGUCACCAUGUCUGCCCAACGUUACCCCUCAGAAGCUCUCUGCAUGUUAUCCUGAUCCCUUUGGUUGCUGUCAAACCGCAUGAUAAUAAAUACCAGAAUGUGUCUAAAUUGAAGGCCUCUGAUGAUGGUGAUGACCAAUACACACAUUACAUUGGCUGAGAUUGACAAGAUACAAAAUAUUAAAC
rnacentral:lncRNA from 1 species